rnacentral:rRNA from 1 species
CUGGCGGCGUGCUUAACACAUGCAAGUCGAACGGAGUGGUCCUCCCGAAGACCUGAUUGAGCUUGCUCUUGAUGGAAUUCAUUUGGAUCACUUAGUGGCGGACGGGUGAGUAACGCGUGGGUAACCUGCCCUAUACUGGGGGAUAGCAGUUGGAAACGACUGAUAAUACCGCAUAAGCGCACAGCAUCGCAUGGUGCAGUGUGAAAAAACUCCGGUGGUAUAGGAUGGACCUGCGUCUGAUUAGCUAGUUGGUGAGGUAACGGCCCACCAAGGCGACGAUCAGUAGCCGGCCUGAGAGGGUGUACGGCCACAUUGGGACUGAGACACGGCCCAAACUCCUACGGGAGGCAGCAGUGGGGAAUAUUGGACAAUGGGGGAAACCCUGAUCCAGCGACGCCCGCGUGAGUGAAGAAGUAUCUCGGUAUGUAAAGCUCUAUCAGCAGGGAAGAUAAUGACGGUACCUGACUAAGAAGCACCGGCUAAAUACGUGCCAGCAGCGGC